AUUGAACGCUGGCGGCAGGCCUAACAAAUGCAAGUCGAACGAGUGGAGGACGGGUGAGUAAUGUCUGGGCAACUGCCUGAUGGCGGGGGAUAACACUUGGAAACAGGUGCUAAUACCGCAUCCUGCUGGGUUGACCGGCGGGGCAUUAGCGAGUGGGUGGUGUAACGGCACACCAAGGCCACGAUGCAUAGCCGCCCGGAGAGGGUGGUCGGCCACACUGGGCCUGAGCAACGGCCCAGACUCCUACGGGAGGCAGCAGUGGGGAAUAUGGCACAAUGGGCGCAAGCGUGAUGCAGCCAGGCCGCGUGUAUGAAGAAGGCCUGCGGGUUGGAAAGUACUUUCAGCGGGGAGGCGUUACCCGCAGAAGAAGCACCGGCUAACUCCGUGCCAGCAGCCGCGGUAAUAC
rnacentral:rRNA from 1 species